rnacentral:rRNA from 1 species
AUUGAACGCUGGCGGCAUGCCUUACACAUGCAAGUCGAACGGCAGCGGGCCCUUCGGGGUGCCGGCGAGUGGCGAACGGGUGAGUAAUGCAUCGGAACGUACCCGGGAGAGGGGGAUAACCGGCCGAAAGGCUGGCUAAUACCGCAUGAACUCGGAAGAGCAAAGCGGGGGACCUUCGGGCCUCGCGCUCUCGGAGCGGCCGAUGUCCGAUUAGGCUAGUUGGUGGGGUAAAGGCCCACCAAGGCGACGAUCGGUAGCGGGUCUGAGAGGACGAUCCGCCACACUGGGACUGAGACACGGCCCAGACUCCUACGGGAGGCAGCAGUGGGGAAUCUUGGACAAUGGGCGAAAGCCUGAUCCAGCAAUGCCGCGUGGGUGAAGAAGGCCUUCGGGUUGUAAAGCCCUUUCGGCGGGGAAGAAAACGGUCAGGCGAAUAGUCUGGCCGGAUGACGGUACCCGCAGAAGAAGCACCGGCUAACUACGUG